rnacentral:rRNA from 1 species
AACGAACGCUGGCGGCAGGCCUAACACAUGCAAGUCGAGCGAAGCCUUCGGGCUUAGCGGCGGACGGGUGAGUAACGCGUGGGAACGUGCCCUUUGGUACGGAAUAGCCCCGGGAAACUGGGAGUAAUACCGUAUGUGGUCGAGAGACGAAAGAUUUAUCGCCAAAGGAUCGGCCCGCGUUGGAUUAGGUAGUUGGUGGGGUAAUGGCCUACCAAGCCGACGAUCCAUAGCUGGUUUGAGAGGAUGAUCAGCCACACUGGGACUGAGACACGGCCCAGACUCCUACGGGAGGCAGCAGUGGAGAAUCUUGGACGAUGGGGGGAACCCUGAUCUAGCCAUGCCGCGUGAUCGAUGAAGGCCUUAGGGUUGUAAAGAUCUUUCAGUGGGGAAGAUAAUGACUGUACCCACAGAAGAAGCCCCGGCUAACUCCGUGCCAGCCGCCGCCGUAACAC